GAAAGUCUGUUCCGCGCCAGGUUUUCGGUCGUAUAGCGGGCAGGAGUAACGAUUGUCUGGCGCGCGCGUCGUCGGUAAUAAUUAAUUCACGAUCUGCGUCUCGAACACCCUUUUAAACGGAAUUUAUUCGGAUGUCACACCGCGGAGCUCUUAAGAUAAAGCCGCAAUUAACCUCGGCGCGGUGUCUCGAAUGGUACACGCGUAGGCGUACACGUAAGAGAUUUCGUCAUACUAUCUUUCGUUGCGCAUUGAAGAGAAUAAAAAUAAAAAACGUAGGGAACGAAAAAACUCGAAUGUCAUUAGGAAAAAAUUAUGUUCGGCUUUUACACUAACAGUGUCCUAAUGGAGUCGCAAGAACAACCCGUGCAACGCAGUCCGUAUAAUGUUAUAACUGCUGCAGCGGCGGUGGUAAUAUAGCGGUGGUUUAGUAGUU